UACGUAGGGUGCGAGCGUUGCCCGGAUUUAUUGGGCGUAAAGGGCGCGUAGGCGGUGAGACACGUUCGUUGUGAAAUCGCCCGGCUCAACUGGGCGGGGUCAGCGGAUACGGUCUCACUUGAGCAAGCUAGGGGGCAAUGGAAUUCCCGGUGUAGUGGUGGAAUGCGUAGAUAUCGGGAGGAACACCUGUGGCGAAAGCGGCUCACUGGACCACAACUGACGCUGAGGCGCGAAAGCUAGGGGAGCAAACAGG
rnacentral:rRNA from 1 species